UGGGGAAUUGUGGACAAUGGGCGCAAGCCUGAUCCAGCCAUGCCGCGUGCAGGAUGAAGGCCUUCGGGUUGUAAACUGCUUUUGUACGGAACGAAAAGGUGCCUUCUAAUAAAGGGCGCUCAUGACGGUACCGUAAGAAUAAGCACCGGCUAACUACGUGCCAGCAGCCGCGGUAAUACGUAGGGUGCGAGCGUUAAUCGGAAUUACUGGGCGUAAAGCGUGCGCAGGCGGUUUUGUAAGACAGAGGUGAAAUCCCCGGGCUCAACCUGGGAACUGCCUGUGUGACUGCAAGGCUGGAGUGCGGCAGAGGGCGAUGGAAUUCCGCGUGUAGCAGUGAAAUGCGUAGAUAUGCGGAGGAACACCGAUGGCGAAGGCAAUCCCCUGGGCCUGCACUGACGCUCAUGCACGAAAGCGUGGGGAGCAAACA
rnacentral:rRNA from 1 species